GGAAUGCUACUGAUUCUAUAGAAGUAAAUUUCCAUUACAGUGUGAGGUCGACUUUCUAAUGUGCUGUGGUUUCAUAUUCAACUGAAGUGCUGCUUUAGCCACCUCAUUCCUGUUCUGGGCUGCUGUCUUUGUUGUGCUGGUAGCACUGUGUGGCUCUGUGUAUCAGAAAACAGAAAAACAAGCAGGAGUCCUGUCUCCUGUUUCACCACUGCGGCACAAGUGGCAGGGAAAUGGAAGAUGGGAACUAACGGGGCUGGAGAGAAAGAUGGAUGAAGUUUCUCAUCAGGGAUCCGGCAGCCUAAGUCAACCUCUAAAAAGCAGGGAGGAUGUGGCCAGUUCUGUGCUGUGCUUACCAGAGCCAGCAGUCUGGUUCUUGGAAGCAUGUUCUGCCCUGCGGGGUGGCGCAAUGGAACAGGAAAAGAGACUAACCCCGUUCUUUUUUUUUCCCCCAGUCUAUCUUGGGAAAAUAUCUACCUCUGGUAACUUUACUAACAUGAGACUAACUGACUUUCCUUCCUGUAUGAAAUCAUCAGUGGAGGGCAACUUUCAUUUAUUAUGCUAGUUUGCACUUCUGUGCCUUUUGUUUACUUGAAUGUAUUGUGAAUAAUCAAAGGAAUAAAGGCACUGGAUAAGUGGAGAAUGAGGGCCA
rnacentral:lncRNA from 1 species